UGCUAUGCCUUAUGCACGUUGAAUCCCUCACUGAGUCCAAUGGACCAGCAUCCAUGACAAGAGCUAAGUGCGUGGGCAAGAGCUCUGCUGGUCUGGAGCCAGAGUUAGUAUUCCCUUGUUCUUUAAAGAUAAUGUUACAGCGAAGAUGGAAGUUAUUUUUUUUGAGUAGGGAAGUGGGAUGAUAAGGCAAUAAAAGUGGUGAAGAGACCUGUUACGAAUCAUGGCGUAAUGCGUACAUGGAAUAACCUUAUCUAAACAUGCCGAAGUUGGUUGUUUUGAGUGGAGGCUGAGGGUCAGCAAUAUACUUCAAAUCAUUCAGCUAUCCAGGAGAGAUAGCAAGACCUCAGCCCUGGCCAGCUCUUCAGACCAAAGUGAAAGUAUUCCCGUGGUGAUGCUGGUAUGGACUUCAGUGAAACCCCACCUCUGGAGUGACAGCUGGACCUAGGUAAGAGCUGCACGCCAGGCAUGAAUAUUCAGAGAAGUCAACACAAGGGUGAAACAGGACAGGUAGCAUCAGAAAGCAGGAGAAGACAAAGGCAUAUCUGGUCAUUAGCUUUAUAAUUGUUCUAAAAAACAUUUUGUAUUUGGGCAAAAUUAUGAGGAUUAUUUGUAACAACUGAAUGACAGCCUGAUAAUUCAAUUUUGAUUUGCUCUGGCAAGAGCAUUUAUAAGGACACAUUAGCAAUGGGGAGCUCUCAAAACACAUGUAUACAUGCCAGUGCCAAAGAGACUGGGCAUGUGCUCCUGCCUACGUGUGAGGCAGCCAAUUCCUGCCACAAGUCCUGGGAAUCAACAGCACUUUGUCUCCCAUUGCGCGGCCUCACCAGCCUUGGGCACAUGGGGAACGGUUGUCUGAAGUCUCUGUGGCAGUGCCUUAGCCCCCAGGAAGGAGCCCUGGGUCUGGAAAAGGAUGCUGUGAAAGGUCUGCAGUGCCAUGCUAUUUUUGCUUGUUUAUCUGGUCAGCGCCAGCCUAUUUUGUGGGCAGCUUGUGCUUGUCUCAAGGUAUUUGGAUUUGAUAAUCUGAUCAGUGCCAGUCCAUUCUUGGCUUCUCUGUCCACCUGCUGACUCCCUUGUGUUACCCUUCUGGUGCUCUAUCCAUCUGUUAAGAAUUUACUUACAAAAUGCAUUAAAAUAAAUCACUAUGCUUUUAUGUGCAUAGGGAUCCUGUUUCCAGCAUCUCAAAAAUCCUAAUAAAUAACUGUGUCUGUUAGUAACAGUAUCAUAAAGUCUUGUAUUUUAUCAUUAGUGAUUUACAGGGGAUGCCAUGAUGCUUAGAAAACAGCCUUUUAACAUUCAAAUUUGGUGGUUUUCAGAAUUCAUUUUAUACUUUGCUGUCAGGUAAUACAGGUUUUCAGACCAGGUGCAUGUGCUGAACACUAUUAUCAAGGAAAUAAAUUCAGAUACAGACUACAACAACAGCUUCUAUCGAAUUACUGCUUGACUGUAAAGAAGACCACAGCUAAGACCUGGGGCAAUGGAAAUGCUGUGGAUCCAGACAUUUUUUAGUCUGGACUAUUGAUUUUUCCAUGGGGGAGGACGGGACGACCCUGCUAGGAGAGAGAAGACCGUUUUCCAUCCUCUGCAGAAGCUGACGUGAGCAUUGUUUGUACCAGCACGAGUCAUGCGAGAGCUGGGGGAACCCGAACAGGCUGAUGCCACCAGCCAGCGCCGCUCGGGCAGGGCCAUGAGACCGGGCACCGGCCGAGACCCUGCCGGUCGCGGGGCUGGAGGCCACGGGGGAAGCACUUGGUGUUCAGAACUUCUUAACCCACUGUGGAGCAACCCUGAGCUUCAGGAGCAGUGCCCGAUGGGACGGCCGCUGAAGGUGUAGUUCCAUAACCACCAAACCAUGGAAAACGCUGGAGAGGAGAAAGACUUACUGGAGGCAAGGUGGAGACAGGUCGCAGACAUGCUGGCAUUUGGAAGCUGCUGAAAGGCUGCGGGGAGGCUUCGCAGCCGAGCGGCUCUGGUCCCCCCUUGCCCUUUGGUGUGGGUUCCUGCCGCUCAUCGCCACUGAGCUUCCAGCUGUUUCCAGGGGACUGACCCUGAAGGGGGAAUGCUGAAUACAGUGUAGUUGAUGCCAUUUAUCUUCGUGUUGAAUACUUGCGAGCUGUAGUUCAUUUAAAUGAAGCCUUUAUGUGUAAUAUAUAAAUUAAAGCCAUAAUGUUAUAGGAAAAGAAGGGCAGCUUGGCUGAUCCAGGGAUUAAAAUCUUUUAACGUUAUGUCCCAGAUAGUGCGUAAUGUGAUAUAAAAGGAUUCUAAUGCGUUCAACAAAGCCAAACACAGCAAGACCUGAACAAACCCCAGAGGACACCAAGACAACCAACCUAAAAUAUAGGUCAAUGUUUUCAAAUUUGGUGUAAGUUCUUUUUGUCUAAUUAAUCUAUAUCUACCAAUAUGUUAGUGAGAGGAAGAUACAGAAAGCUGACUGCCACUGAAACGUUCCCAAGGCUGAAAGAAAACAGUCUCAGCUUGUGGCUAAUUAUUUUUUUCCUUGAAAUUUAUGCCCUGAAAGAUAAGCAAACAUGGUGUUUAUUUGACCUGUGCACCUUGUACCAGACUCUUUUUCCAAAUACUGUUCUUUAAAACAGCUAUUAAAAUGAUAGAAAAAGAGAAGAAAAUGCUGCUGAAAACACAGCAGCACAACAGUGAAGGAAGAGGAUGAACACAGCUUGAGAUUACAGCAGUCACUGCAUCAAGAUGUUCAUCAUCCUUGUGCGUGGCCAUGCAAGAUGUGGGCUGAGUUUCCAGCCCUGCUGAUUUUCCUCAUGGGUCUCAUGACAUCUGCUGUUUUCUUCCUGAGAACCCAAGCCUGGAAGUGUGUGGCUAAAGGAUAGUCUCAGCUUUCCUUUAAGAGGUGCCUCUGCCCCAUUUUCCAAGGGAGUAAGGCACGGCCAUGGGACCCCAGGGUGGUCUGCCAGCGGCCGUCUGCUGCCCUUGUCCAUCCUCUCGGCUCGGCUGUCCCCUCGCGCCCGCACACGUGGAGCAGCGUCGGCUGCGGCAUGGGACUGUGCCAAGCACGGGGAGCGUGGGGGGUCGUGGGACCGCAGCCGGCACGUUGCCCUUCACACGUCAGGGUAUGGGCAUCUGUUAUCAAGUGCUGUCGUUACCCGUGCCUCGUUUACAGCUUUACAUCCCUCACCAAGACUGCAGAAGUGGUGAUUUGAUUCCGGAAAACAUCGUGGCAUGUGAGUGGCUCCCCCCCGCCCCCAGAGGCACUUUGCUGAAGGAAGAAGGUGAAGCAGCAAAAGGGGAAAGGCUCUGAAGCUGAAGCCAGCGUUCGAAGAAGCUGAGCCUUAACAGAAGCAGAGAAUGGUAUAUCCUGGGAAACCUCUGACUGAAUGAAUGGAGAUGGGGACCAUACUGGAUUUGUCUCUGAAUAUAUUAUAAUGGCUAUGGAUGGAGCUCCUGCUUGCUCUACAGCAUCGCUGUUUUUUGACUGAAGUAAACAGGAGUUAAUCCCUGUAGCCUGUGAGCUGUCCCAUGCUGCCCAAGGCCCCGCUCCCUCACCGAAGGCUUGGCAAGGCUGCUCUGCCUUUCAUGGGCACCGCGGGAGAACUCACCACCGGCUCCUGCCCGGGGAGGUGGCACCGAGGCAAGACGCAGGUAAGGCUCAAGCGGAGCAAAGAGAACGUGACCUGCGGCAGCGCGUUGAAACGCCGUGGUAAGCGAGAUAUCUACGACCCCUCGAGAAGAAGCAUCGAGGCGUUCAGCACUCAGUUCUGCUGCCUGCAGCCGGCUCCCCCUGCCCUCCCCUGCCCUCCCCUGCCCUGCCUUGCCUUCCCCUUCCCUCCCCUGCCCUCCCCUGCCCUGCACUCCUGCUUUUGCUGCUCCGUCCCCCGGCUGGUGUUUCCUCGGUGGCUGUCACCGCUUACCACCCAGGUACGCGCAGACCAUUUUCUUUCACCCACUGAUUUCCUGGUUUAUUUGAUUCUGAAAUAAUUGUGCUCAAGCAUUAGAAUAGUGUGAUUAAAAUUAUUUUUAAAGAGCUACAUGACUGCUCAGGGGCUUACAUGGAAGAAAUAAUGGGAUGAAUAAAUGGAUGACUGGUGGAUCUGAGUUUAAAACGCAAAAAAAGGACCAAGUUCCCUCUGUCAUAAAUGUGGGAUUUAGAAAGUCUUAUUUGAAGGUUUAUCUAAAGGGUAUAUGUUUGAUUAUGUCUGCAAUUUACAGAUUGAUCCCCAGUGUGAAGUUUUGCAGAGAAAAAGCUAUUAUUUUAGGGUCCAGGAAUAGUAAGCAGGGCUAGAUCCACCAGAACUAGGUGGAUUUUCAGCGUGGAGGGAGCCAGGCAGCACUUGCCCUUCAUCGGUAUUUGAAUGUGGGCUCUCAACUAGAAAAGAAACCCUGGAGGGCUGUCAGAGGAUUAUCUCCGCUGCUCUGCAGAAGUUCAGGGUAUUGCCACCAGAGCAGCGUGUGCCUCCGAUUUUAUACCAACUUAGCCAAGAUAAAAAUCAGGCUCAGUUCUCCCAGCCUCUGAAGGCAGCCUGAUAAAAUUAGCAGGAGUAAUUUUUUGUACAAAGUUCUUUUGAUAGCUUGGCAAAGGCCAGAAGAUUGAAUACAAGGAGGAGGACUUCAAGCCACGUUUUCUCUGUUGGUGUAAACAGGUAUCAUUACGCUGAAACAAAUGGAAGUGCUCUUACUUUACACCACCUGAAGGCCUGACAAAUUCCCAUUUGUUUGAUGCUAUAAUGAAUAGCCAUUUCAUGGGUAUGAGAUGAGUUCAGGUACAAACCUUAGUUUUCAGUUUCCUGCCUGCCUCUGAAUAGCAACCAGCAUUAUUUCACUGCAGUUGUUUUAAAAAUUAACUUGUAAUGCAUUCUAGCCAAUCCUUCCUACUGAAUGAUGAUAUUUUUUUUUAAUUUAAUUUUUGGUUUUUAGAUUGAUGUCCUCAUUGUAAUGCAUCUUCAUUCUGCUUUCCACUAAAAGCUCAAUAUUGUGACUUAUGUGGAAUAUUUAAUGGGCAGACUUCUCAUAUAAAUUUUGCAACUACCAGUAAUUAGACUCACCCGCGUGCAAUGCAGAGAGCAGGAACCUCUGUAGUCAUCAAAGGUGCAGAGUCAGGGAAAGAAGCAAAGCUUUGUUUUCCCAGUGAAGCAGAGGGAGCUGCCCCUGAGUUUGCUAUGCGUUAUUGCGAACAGCUUAGUGGCAAAGUUCCAUUAUUUCUGACCUUUCUGUCCAUAUUGUAGCACAACCGUUGCCAUUUGGGACAAUUCAAGGUACUGCAGGUAGUUCUGUAAUAGUCAGCAAACUGUUCUAGCAUCAUCAUUAGCUGUCUCUGUGGCUGGCAUGGAGUGAAGGCGAACACUUUGGGGCAAUUCUGAGCAAGAGUUCCUUCGGCAUCGUUUUCUUCUCCGGUAGUCUGAUGCCAAAUACGAAUUUCCAUUUAUUAUUGUACUGAGCAGCAUAAAACAUUUCUCAGGUUUUUGCUGCUAUCUUCCAAGAUCCCAGAGAAGAGUACAUUCAUCUGAACCUAUAAUUUAUUGGUGUAAUGACCAAGAAUUAAAGACUGAGGAUAACUAGCAACAUCAAGCCUUUUUGAUCUUUAAAAAAUCUCCCAUUUUUUAAGGUUACUUGCUACGUGCUUUGCUGUAUCCAACAGACAUAAUUUCGAUCUCAGUUAACCUGCACUUUAGGUCAAAAGGAACAACAGAAAAAUUAAAAGAGUUCGACCAGCAAGAAAUAAUUGUGAGUUUCUUACAAAGUGGAUGAAAGAGAGCAAGAACUGCAGCUGUGGAGUCAGACCGUGGAGGCUUAAAGGGACUUUGGAAAUGGUGAAUUUCACACGCCCAAAGCCUGCCGGGUCAUCAGGGGAAACCCCACACCAUUCCUGCAGCUUUCACAAGCUUGCCACGCACGAGAAGCUGUAGUGCCCACCCCACCUAUUUUUAGGGCAGUUCCAGCUCUCCAUCCUGCCCAAGCCUCUCCUGGCAAACCCGUUCCUGUCUUGAACUCUCUUGCAUCAGUUUGCAUAGCGCAGCGCUGCUUUAUUUCGGAGCAGCAGUGAGAUAACUGGGGGCUGGUGCUGACACUGGUCUUGGGUGACACUGGGCAGGACAGAGACCUCACCUCAGAGCCAGGUUCCUGCAACCCCCCCCGGUCUGACGCAGCACAAAGUGGUGAAACCAAGUUGGUGCAGACAGGCUGUGGGAAACGCGGGGAGAGACCCGCUGCUGGCGAUUCUGGCAGUGAGCACCGCCAGCUUCGGCGGCCGAUGCGGCGAGGAGAGGAGAAGCAGGGCACGCGCCCCAGCAUCGCAUGCCUUCGCUCCGCCGACCUGCCCGGGCUUUCUCAGGGCUCCCUAUUUCGAACUGCGUAUUACAUUUACUGUCCCUGUCUAACCUGAAAUUUCAUGAAUGAUCUUUUUGAUAAAUUUUACUUUUAAUGUUUUCUCCAUCCUGUUAGGAAAUAUGCUGUUUACUGAUGAUUACGUUUUCUAAAUGACUGCACUUGCUUCUUAGCUUUUAAGUGAAAUGCCUGGAAAAAUGUGUUUCUGUAGCCUUCAAGGGAAAUAAUGGGAAGUCCCUCCCUCCCUGUUCAAGACUGCUCUCAAAAAAAUACCCAGGUUUUAGCACUGGAUUUAUCUCAACAAUGCACAGUCAUUUAAAAGCUUCCUGAGCUGUUUGUACUUACAAGGAGCAUUUCUAAUGCAACUUUAGAGGACACAAAGUAAAUAUGUCUAGCUUGGCAGACGGCUUGAAGAAAACCUACUUAGUUCAAUCAUUAGGUCAAGCCAAAUAAAUUUCUGCCUUCCUCAGAGAAAAUUACUAGUGAAUGUCGAGGCUGAAGUGAUUUUAACUUCCUUGACAUGGAAGAUUUAGUUACAUCAAACAGUAAUGAACAGCUGAAAGAUGUAAUUUUGGUUAUAAAAGGAGUGCAGCCACUACAUGUUCAAAGACAAAAUAAUUCUUACUAUUCACUGCACCAUAAUAUUUAAAUACUUACGGCAUUAAAUAUUAGUAAGACAUAUUUAGAGGCAGCUGAUGGCUCUGAAGCUUAGUCCCCACUCAGUUUGUCAGAUCCUUGAGUUUCAGAGGAAAAACUGUGCAGGAAAUCUCGUUCUUUCGUCGUGCUUUUCAUUGCGUUACAGAUCAGUAAAUGGCAGUAAAUGGAGCUCUGGCAAUGGGAAGGUCGCUGCAGGGCAUUUGGAAAUGAAAGGACUAUUUUGUGUCUCGUUUAGAGACUUCUCUUUAUUUAUUGGUGUGUGUUAUCCAGUGGCCGGGGUAAUGGGCCUCAGAAGAAAGUGUUGUUUAAGUAAAAUAGCUGUGGUUUGGGGGGGAGUAACUAAAUCAGAAGUUCUGAGAAGCAGCGGCCACGUUCUCAGGCAUCUGAAAUGUGUCUACUACUAAGAGCAAAGCAAUUUUUUCUAAUUCCAAAAUCCCAGUUUGCAAGGAUGUUAAAUCAUCCUUGGGCUUAACACAAUAGUCUCUUGGCAACUGCAGAUGCUUAUCUUGAAAGAUUCAUUUUUACAACAGACUGAAUUCUCAGAAAAGAGGCCAAACAUAAAGAUGUUAGAAAUCAAAGCGAAAAUCCAAAAGGGUUUUGAGGCUUGAUUUAGUUAAGCAUCCAAAUGUUUGGCUAUGUAUUUGAAACUUAUUCAAGCUGCUUAAAUCUAGAAAACUGGUAAUAGGCUCUAUCCUCCCUGCUCUGUGACGGAAAGUCUUGGCACAUACAGUUCCAAAUUGCAUUGACCUUUUUUUGCUGCCAAAUUCUAUUGCAUUUUCAUUUCUAAUUUACUGUCCAAUCCAGCCCCAAGGUCUCUAGCUUUUACUGCCUUUCUAGGUUUCCAUUUCCUAUUCAAUAUGUGCUUUUCCCCCUUGCUUAAUAGUUUUCAUUUUUCGCCAGUUAAGUCUCAUCUUAUUACUCAAAAAUUUAGGGACCGAUAUAUGAGGUCAGACUGACAAUCCAUCCAUUUUGUUAUUCUUUCUUCUAUAAUUUACCAGGUUCAGAUGCUUCAGAAGGCACAGAAGAAACACAGAAAUGGAUCAUUGUGGAAACCUUUGUCCAUAGGAAAAAUCCAUAGUGUAUUUCUGUGCUAAUGCAGAAGGGUUUAUAGCUUCUUCCCAGCUGAAAUAAGUGUUUCAUCUCAGCACCUAUGUACAAAUCUAUGUUUUUCUGAAUUCUAUUAAAUGUUCACUCUCAGUAAUAUCCAUUGGCAAUGAGUUCUACAGGUUUAUUCUGGAGGUUUAUUGGUUGUUUCUGCCUACAUUUGUAUUUCCUCUGAUGAUACUGAUAUUAUUUAUCUUUCUUGCUGGUUUGCUAAUUUUCCACAGUAGUGUCACUUGUGAUUGUCAUUAAUAUGCUUCCUUUUGAGUGGGAAGGAGGAUGCUGUGUAAAAGGAAUUAUAAUACACAUUCUCCCUCUAAGUUUUAAAGUACAUUUGUGUAGAGUAUAUUUUUAAGGUAUAUUGUAAAGGCUUUUCUCUGAAAUCCGUGGUUGGAAUUACUGACCUCUUCCUUUCUGGCAGCUCUUUUGCAUUGCCAUCUUUUGGUAAGACCUGGCCCGGAUGGGCUGCGUGAGCCCCACUUUUGGGCGGACGGCACCGGUGGUUCAGUGCGAGCCUCGCGGCCGGGUCAGACCCCAUGUCCGCAGUUACCUGGCACUUUCUCUGUUUCCUUCUGCUUAUUUCUUUAUUUUAGCAUUCAAGGCUUGCCAGCCACACUGGACUGGUGGGACCUUUGCAAAUCUUCUUGGCAGCACUUCCCAUCUUUCACUCGGCUUUCUUUCUCUGUAUUGGAUGCUUUUGAUUCGUGCUUGGGAUUUAUCGGUUUAAUUAAUCUAAUCUCUGCAGUAUCAUCCAUGCUAACUGAAAUAAUUCCUGACAAUGUUUCGUUGAUCCCUGUGAUUGCUGAAUGAGAGUGAAGCUAUGUGGCAGCAUAUGGCAGUAUUUCUUAUCUGUGGUGGCUAAGUUUAGCAUUUUAGAGGGUUUUUUUAGUCCUUUUUCUUUUAAUCAGAGUUGUCUAUUUGCUUAGAGAUUAGGCCAUUUUUGUGUGUUUCCUCAUUGAUAAAACUGUGCUUUUUAAUGUUCUGUAAAAUCCUAUUGUGUUCCCACAGACUUUUGCAGGAGCAAGCUUCAUACACAAUAUCACAGGGCAUUGCUACAGUGAAAUGCACAGAAGUGGUGUGGUGCACAGGCUUUUUUUGAAGUAUUAAAAUUUGUUGUUUAAACAUUUGCAGAAAGAACAAUGCUUUAUAAAUAAGUACAUGAUUAGAUUAAUCCAGGACUACUCUCAGUAAGGGCAGUGGUACAGCCUCAAGCCCUCAGUGGUUAUACCAACAGUGAUUUUAUAUCGGUAAUGUUUCUUUACUUAUAAACUGCCAGUGAGUUGAGAGUUGCGAUGACAAUCCUGUCUUCCAAGGAUGCGCUGAAGUGUUUUGGAUCCCAGGGCCUGGUAUUUACGGAAGGUUUUUAUAGUACAGACUCAGCAGUUUGCACAGUUUGGUGAAUUCGUUUAGAGUAAUUAGUGUAACACCAGGCUGGAUUUGCAAGUCUGUUUAAGCCAUUCUACUUCGAGUGUAUCAAACUUUAAAACAUCUACAGUACAAACAUUGAUUUUGUUUGGAUUAUUUCACGUAUUUUUCCAGCUCUACUAAAACAGUGGUGAGUAACUCAACGGUUGGUUGACACAGGUCCUGGUCGUUCCUUAGCCUUGUGGACCAAGGGCCUGGCCGCAUCCCGCGUGGAUUCCAAGAUGGACCCCUUGCCUCUGAAUCGAUGACUUCCCUGGCCCUGCUGAUGCAAAGGGAUGAUAGCAAUUCUCCACCAAUCCCCAGCAGCCAGUAGUGCAAUAUACUGUGCUUCUCAUACCGUAAUGGAAAUCUGUAUUGUCACUGUUGCAAUAUGUCAUGCUGUACCUGCAGGCCAGUGGGUUUGCCUUCCUGUUAUCCUGAUCUGGGGUAGUUGUUUAUGUUGGCAACAAAGGAGCCAAUCAAAAAUUUACUCCCAUUUGAUUUAUUUUUGACUUGCAAAACAGAGAAUCAGUCUGCAUAUUUUUAAUACAAUUUUUUUUCCCCAGGGAUGGGCCAGUUUUAUUCCACAUCUCUUCUCUGGGAUGUGCAGAAAGCCCUACAAUGCUAUCUGGAGACAUUGUGUGGCAGAAAUUGCCUCAAGAGAAUUUUCUUUUAUGCUUUAUCCCAAAAUGCUUAUAUGGCUGUUCACCACUCUUCCAUCAUUUAUUAAAAGAAGCUUGUGCUCGUGUGGUGUCCUGUGAAUGUGACUUGCUGAACAGACCUCCGGCAAAUUUGCUGGAGUAAAGCAGAUUGCUGCCCUGGAGAAGAUCCAGACAGCGUGGGAGUGGCAUUCUGUUUUGUUUUCUGUAGAAAAAUUAUAAUUGCCUAGAUAUCAAUUAACCCUAUGAUACUGGCCUUCCCUUUUUGCAGUUUGUUCAUUUGAAAUCAUAGAUAGCUUCAUAGAUAGUAUGAAGAGAAGUUGGGUUUUGGUUUUUUUUUUUUGCAAAUCCUGGUCUAGGUUCCCUGUUAAAUUUAAUUUUUUUUUUCCUCCGGAAAUAAUUUUUACCCUUGUUCACCUAAAAUAAGUGACAAGAAGAUGGAUGAAGCUCUCCUGCCCCCUACGUGUGUUUUUAGGGAAGAAGUAGGGUGGCUUGACUGGUAGCUCUGAGUCAGUGUUGGUACCUUGUACUGGCCAGCUGAUUUGUACUGCUGAAUUGCCAUAUUUUUCUGGACAUCACCAGAAAUUGUGUUGCUUGUGCUCAUUAAUUCCUUAAUUUUUACAGGUAAGAUAAUUCAGCGUAGCUGAACCACGUCUUUUUUCUCAGACGUAGUCCACCCAGGUAGUCAUAUUCUCUCCUCUUCCACAAGCAGCUGGCACUAAUGCAGUCAGUUUUCGUGGUUGCAGUGGUAUUUAAGCAGUAGCCUAAAUACCUGGGUGGUGCUUUGCUUCAGACCAUUGAACUGUGGCCACUUUUUCCCUGGUGGGUGCCGUGAAGGUAUACUGGUACUCCUUGUCUGUGUAUUAGUUUUGAAUCAUACAAAUUCAAAGUUCUAAAAUUAACAUCUCCUUGUUUUUUCCUCACCAGUAGAACUGGCCAGAAAAAAGUGGAAAAGCGAUGGUUCAGGCUGCAGCCCGCGUCCCUGCCAGCCCAAGCUGCCAGCGCGGGCUCCGAGCACCGGGGGACUGGGCAGCGCGGGCCAGGCUCCGCGCGGGCAGGAGGUGGAGGAACGCAAAUUUGUGCCAGUACUGGAGGACUGAUCCGUA